UACGAAGGGGGCUAGCGUUGUUCGGAAUUACUGGGCGUAAAGCGCACGUAGGCGGACUAUUAAGUCAGGGGUGAAAUCCCGGGGCUCAACCCCGGAACUGCCUUUGAUACUGGUAGUCUCGAGUCCGGGAGAGGUGAGUGGAAUUCCUAGUGUAGAGGUGAAAUUCGUAGAUAUUAGGAAGAACACCAGUGGCGAAGGCGGCUCACUGGCCCGGUACUGACGCUCAUGUGCGAAAGCGUGGGGAGCAAACAGG
rnacentral:rRNA from 1 species